rnacentral:lncRNA from 1 species
CAAUGUCACAUGGGAUAGCCUCAACCAAUUCUAUGAAAUGUUGAUUUUGCAAUCAAUACAAUGGAAUGAUAUAUUAUGUGAAAUGUGUUCUUUAAAGGUGCUAUACAUUUCAAUAUACAUGAACAUACUCAACCAAAUGUGAGUCUAUUUUGACAGUCUUCUUGAUUUAACACUUGCCUUAGGCUUAUGGAUCAGGCCAGUAAAAAGUCUGUUGAGGUCAGUAAAGUUUUCAUUAUAUAAGUAACAAUGCAGUAGCAAAAAGUUAUUGGGACUGUUUAAUUGUCAAAUAUAAUGUUUUCAUGGAGAAAUGACACAGCAUGUUUUCAGUGUGAAUUCAAAAA